AGCGGUAAUAAGCAGAUGACUUAGGAGUGAAAAACGAGGAAUGGAGAUUGAAGACAAAAAUGAGCUCGAGGAAAUUUGGUGAGGUAUCAAUUUAGGAGUAACAAGAAACAAUCUGCGAGCAAGGUUGAGAAAAAACAUUGAAGAGGAAGAACAUCCACCAUUAUCUAAGAGAAUUGAGAUUAAGGAUUCUUCUAAUAUAUUCGGGUUACGUAUUCAUCUUCCAUCUUGUAUUUCUGCGAUACAAUUAUGAGUGGUUAAGCUUCUUCUUGUUGCUAGGAUUUACAAUGAAGCCUUUAAUUCUUUAAUCUAAUAAAUUGCUCUU
rnacentral:lncRNA from 1 species